CAGCUAAUGUGGAGAAAUGAUAUAGGAGUGCAAGUUGCUUAGUUUGUGAACAGGCAUUUUAAUGUCCAGUAAGGUUUGCAGUCAGGGCAAAUGUUUUUCACAAGGUCUACAAUCUCCAUGAAAACAACGGUCCAUGUUACACCCUCAAUGUUCAUACUGGUGUUAGUGGAUGUAUGUUUUUCCCCUUCAGUAGCUCAGUCCCCACCCCAGGAAAUGACAUGAUUACUUUAUAAAUGAGAUUCAUGUUCUAAACUAGCAUUCCUGCAGAAACAGGUGCAAUAAAAUCUGCUGAGCUGAGAGCAAACUUUAUUUUACUACAAAAAUGUAUAUGAUCAUAUAUGCUGUUCUCUUCUCUUUAGUCACAGAAGCUGUUCUGGGAGUGAGACUGGAACAAAAUGAUCUCUCUAUGACAAAAGAUGAGGGUAAAACUGUGUUUAUCAGCUGCAAAAUGACUGAGUUAUCUGGUGACAACUUUGUCCACUGGUACCAAAAGAAAGACGGUGAAGCUCUCACUAGGAUCCUGUAUGUCAAAAGUGGAAGCUCACCGGUUCCUGAUGCUAACUUUAAGGAAGCAAAGGACUUCAGUGUGAGGAUACAGGCUGACAAUUAUGAUCUGAAAAUAGCAAACCUGAAGAAAAGUCACUCUGGGGUGUAUUACUGUGCCAGCUGGGCAGGCUCCCACAUUGACAGUAAACCUUCAGAGUGUGUAGCCCACAACCAUAGCACACAGCAGUGCCUUCGCACUGCUCCAAAGAAGACUGCACCCAUACCCUUAAUCCUGCUCCCAAUCAUCAGCAUCCUCUGUGAAAGGAUAGGCAUGGGUGAUCGCAAUGAGUACAUCCUGUUGAUCAUUGACCUGGUGAAUGUACUGCAAGGCAGCCCCUCUUCAUAA